GGGAAAGUGGCUCAGUGGUAGAGUGCUUGCCUAGUAUGCAUGAAGUCCUGGGUUCGAUUCCUCAGUACCA
rnacentral:tRNA from 1 species